rnacentral:rRNA from 1 species
CGGCAAACGGGUGCGGAACACGUACAGAACCUUCCUUUAAGCGGGGGAUAGCCCAGAGAAAUUUGGAUUAAUACCCCAUAUUAUUAUUGAGUGGCAUCAUUUAAUAAUUAAAGAUUUAUCACUUAGAGAUGGCUGUGCGUCUGAUUAGGUAGUUGGUGCGGGUAACGGCCCACCAAGCCUUCGAUCAGUAACUGGUGUGAGAGCACGACCAGUCACACGGGCACUGAGACACGGGCCCGACUCCUACGGGAGGCAGCAGUAAGGAAUAUUGGUCAAUGGAGGCAACUCUGAACCAGCCAUGCCGCGUGAAGGAUGAAGGUCCUCUGGAUUGUAAACUUCUUUUAUGUGGGAAGAAAUGCAUUCUUUAUAGAGUGUUUGACGGUACCAUAGGAAUAAGCACCGGCUAACUCCGUGCCAGCAGCCGCGGUAAUACGGAGGGUGCAAGCGUUAUCCGGAUUCACUGGGUUUAAAGGGUGCGUAGGUGGGAAUGUAAGUCAGUGGUGAAAUCUCCGUGCUUAACAUGGAAACUGCUAUUGAUACUAUGUUUCUUGAAUUUUCCGGAGGUUAGCGGAAUAUGUCAUGUAGCGGUGAAAUGCUUAGAUAUGACAUAGAACACCAAUUGCGAAGGCAGCUAACUACAGGGAUAUUGACACUGAGGCACGAAAGCGUGGGGAUCAAACAGGAUUAGAUACCCUGGUAGUCCACGCCCUAAACGAUGGAUACUCGACAUUUGUGAUACACAAUAAGUGUC